AGUUAGUCGAGUAGCGUGGCUGGAGAAAAACGCGUGGCUGGAGAAAAAUAUGUUAAAAUGGAUAAGAUAAUAAAAGAUAAGGAUGGCUCAAUUAUUGUUCGUAAUCAGUCCAUGCAGCGAUGGAACUGAACAAUUGUGGGACCGUAUUUGGGCCAAAAAUGGGUGUGGUACGGAAACCCAGAAAUGGCACGAGUUCAACCUAAAACAUGGAUUAGAAUUUUAGCAGGGGAUCAAGUCAAGUCUGGAAGUGUUACAGGAUGGAAGAGUCAGCCUGUAGUUGAAAAAACACUGAGAUUACAUUACCGUUAAGGUGUGAGGUAAAGUAAUAGAGUAAUGCAAAUUGUCUAAUG